rnacentral:rRNA from 1 species
GAUGAACGCUGGCGGCGUGCCUAAUACAAGCAAGUCGAGCGAACGGACGAGAAACUUGCUUCUCUGAUGUUAGCGGCGGACGGGUGAGUAACACGUGGAUAACCUACCUAUAAGACUGGGAUAACUUCGGGAAACCGGAGCUAAUACCGGCUAAUAUUUUGAACCGCAUGGUUCAAAAGUGAAAGACGGUCUUGCUGUCACUUAUAGAUGGAUCCGCGCUGCAUUAGCUAGUUGGUAAGGUAACGGCUUACCAAGGCAACGAUGCAUAGCCGACCUGAGAGGGUGAUCGGCCACACUGGAACUGAGACACGGUCCAGACUCCUACGGGAGGCAGCAGUAGGGAAUCUUACGCAAUGGGCGAAAGCCUGACGGAGCAACGCCGCGUGAGUGAUGAAGGUCUUCGGAUCGUAAAACUCUGUUAUUAGGGAAGAACAGAUGUGUAAGUAACUGUGCACAUCUUGACGGUACCUAAUCAGAAAGCCACGGCUAACUACGUG